rnacentral:rRNA from 1 species
UACGGGGGGGGUAAGCGUUGUUCGGAAUUACUGGGCGUAAAGGGCUCGUAGGCGGCCAACUAAGUCAUACGUGAAAUCCCUCAGCUUAACUGGGGAACUGCGUGUGAUACUGGAUGGCUUGGAUUUGGGAGAGGGAUGCGGAAUUCCAGGUGUAGCGGUGAAAUGCGUAGAUAUCGGGAGGAACACCUAUGGCGAAGGCAGCUCGCUGGGACGUUACUGACGCUGGAGACGCGAAAGCGUGGGGAGCAAACAGG